rnacentral:rRNA from 1 species
UACGUAGGGUGCAAGCGUUAAUCGGAAUUACUGGGCGUAAAGCGUGCGCAGGCGGCUUUGCAAGACAGAUGUGAAAUCCCCGGGCUCAACCUGGGAACUGCAUUUGUGACUGCAUGGCUGGAGUGCGGGAGAGGGGGAUGGAAUUCCGCGUGUAGCAGUGAAAUGCGUAGAUAUGCGGAGGAACACCGAUGGCGAAGGCAAUCCCCUGGGCCUGCACUGACGCUCAUGCACGAAAGCGUGGGGAGCAAACAGG